UACGGGGGGGGCAAGCGUUGUUCGGAAUUACUGGGCGUAAAGGGCGCGUAGGCGGCCUGCUAAGUCGGAUGUGAAAUCCCUCGGCUCAACCGAGGAACUGCAUCCGAUACUGGCGGGCUUGAAUCCGGGAGAGGGAUGUGGAAUUCCAGGUGUAGCGGUGAAAUGCGUAGAUAUCUGGAGGAACUCCGGUGGCGAAGGCGGCAUCCUGGACCGGUAUUGACGCUGAGGCGCGAAAGCUAGGGGAGCAAACGGG
rnacentral:rRNA from 1 species